UGGGGAAUAUUGCACAAUGGGCGAAAGCCUGAUGCAGCAACGCCGCGUGCGGGAUGACGGCCUUCGGGUUGUAAACCGCUUUCAGCAGGGACGAAGGUUUUCUGACGGUACCUGCAGAAGAAGCACCGGCUAACUACGUGCCAGCAGCCGCGGUGAUACGUAGGGUGCGAGCGUUGUCCGGAAUUAUUGGGCGUAAAGAGCUUGUAGGCGGUCCGUUGCGUCGGAAGUGAAAACUCAGGGCUUAACCCCUGAGCCUGCUUUCGAUAUGGGCGGACUUGAGGGAUGUAGGGAGAACGGAAUUCCUGGUGGAGCGGUGGAAUGCGCAGAUAUCAGGAGGAACACCAGUGGCGAAGGCGGUUCUCUGGACAUUUCCUGACGCUGAGAAGCGAAAGCGUGGGGAGCAAAUCAGGCUUAGAUACCCUGGUAGUCCACGCC
rnacentral:rRNA from 1 species